rnacentral:tRNA from 1 species
AUAAGAAACAAAUGUGGUUUAUAUAAGUGUAAAUUAAUUUUAAUUUGUUAUUCUUGAG